rnacentral:rRNA from 1 species
CAGAGGGUGCAAGCGUUAAUCGGAAUCACUGGGCGUAAAGCGUGCGUAGGUGGUCAUGCAAGUCGGGUGUGAAAUCCCCGGGCUUAACCUGGGAACUGCAUUCGAUACUACAUGGCUAGAGUAUGGUAGAGGGAAGUGGAAUUUCCGGUGUAGCGGUGAAAUGCGUAGAUAUCGGAAGGAACACCAAUGGCGAAGGCAGCUUCCUGGACUAAUACUGACACUGAGGCACGAAAGCGUGGGUAGCAA